rnacentral:rRNA from 1 species
CGGACCAAGGAGUCUAACACGUGCGCGAGUCACAGGGUAACUCGCAAAAAUUGCACGAAACCCUAAGGCGAAAUGAAAGUGAAGGUCAGGCACUGCACUGACCGAGGCAGGAUCCGUCCGGGUGAGCGAAGCUCUUCUUCCUUUCGCGGGUUCGUCCCGCGGGGGAGCUCGGCGGCGCACUGCCGGCCCAUCUCGACCGCUUCCCGUCGGCGAGGUGGAGCUAGAGCGCACACGUUGGGACCCGAAAGAUGGUGAACUAUGCUCGGGCAGGACGAAGCCAGAGGAAACUCUGGUGGAGGUCCGUAGCGAUUCUGACGUGCAAAUCGAUCGUCGGACCCGAGUAUAGGGGCGAAAGACUAAUCGAACCGUCUAG